rnacentral:rRNA from 1 species
CACGUAGGGGGCAAGCGUUGUCCGGAUUUAUUGGGCGUAAAGAGCUCGUAGGUGGUUCGGUAAGUCGGGUGUUAAACCCCCAGGCUCAACCUGGGGACGCCACUCGAUACUGCUGUGACUAGAGUCCGGUAGGGGAGCGUGGAAUUCCUGGUGUAGCGGUGAAAUGCGCAGAUAUCAGGAGGAACACCGAUGGCGAAGGCAGGUCUCUGGGCACUUACCGACGCUGAGGAGCGAAAGCGUGGGGAGCGAACAGG